UGCCAGCCGCCGCGGUAAUACGGAGGGUGCGAGCGUUAAUCGGAAUAACUGGGCGUAAAGGGUGCGUAGGCGGUGAUGUAAGUGGGAAGUGAAAGCCCCGGGCUUAACCUGGGAAGUGCUUUCCAAACUGCAUGACUAGAGUAUGGUAGAGGAGUGUGGAAUUUCCUGUGUAGCGGUGAAAUGCGUAGAUAUAGGAAGGAACAUCGGUGGCGAAGGCGGCACUCUGGAUUAAUACUGACGCUGAGGUACGAAAGCGUGGGGAGCGAACAGGAUUAGAUA
rnacentral:rRNA from 1 species